rnacentral:pre_miRNA from 1 species
AGAGGGGAAUGCAGCCAAGGAUGACUUGCCGAAAAUUUCCCACCAGCCUUUAAUUUGAGGGUUUAUAUAAUUCUUUCAACCGGCAAGCUUUCCUGGGCUACAUUUGGCUUAAU